UUGAACGCUGGCGGCAGGCCUAACCCCUGCAAGUCGCGCGGAUGAAGGGAGCUUGCUCCUGGAUUCAGCGGCGGACGGGUGAGUAAUGCCUAGGAAUCUGCCUGGUAGUGGGGGAUAACGUCCGGAAACGGGCGCUAAUACCGCAUACGUCCUGAGGGAGAAAGUGGGGGAUCUUCGGACCUCACGCUAUCAGAUGGGCCUAGGUCGGAUUAGCUAGUUGGUGGGGUAAAGGCCUACCAAGGCGACGAUCCGUAACUGGUCUGAGAGGAUGAUCAGUCACACUGGAACUGAGACACGGUCCAGACUCCUACGGGAGGCAGCAGUGGGGAAUAUUGGACAAUGGGCGAAAGCCUGAUCCAGCCAUGCCGCGUGUGUGAAGAAGGUCUUCGGAUUGUAAAGCACUUUAAGUUGGGAGGAAGGGCAGUAAGUUAAUACCUUGCUGUUUUGACGUUACCAACAGAAUAAGCACCGGCUAACUUCGUG
rnacentral:rRNA from 1 species